rnacentral:rRNA from 1 species
CAGUCGCCGCGGUAAUACGAGGGGGGCAAGCGUUGUUCGGAAUUAUUGGGCGUAAAGGGUGCGUAGGCGGCUUGACAAGUCUUGUGUGAAAUCUAUGGGCUCAACCCAUAGUCUGCACGGGAAACUGUCGGGCUUGAGAAUGGGAGAGGUGAGUGGAAUUUCCGGUGUAGUGGUGAAAUGCGUAGAUAUCGGAAGGAACACCUGUGGCGAAAGCGGCUCACUGGACCAUUUCUGACGCUGAUGCACGAAAGCUAGGGGAGCAAACAGGAUUAGAUACCCGAGUAGUCCCUGUCUCUUAUAC